rnacentral:rRNA from 1 species
CCCUUUGGCCUGGAAUAACACGAGGAAACUUGUGCUAAUACCGGAUAAGUCUUUACGGAGAAAGCUUUAUGCACCAUUGGAUGAGCCUGCACUUGAUUAGUUUGUUGGUGGGGUAAUGGCCUACCAAGACUUUGAUCAAUAGCUGAUUUGAGAGGAUGAUCAGCCACAUUGGGACUGAGACACGGCCCAAACUCCUACGGGAGGCAGCAGUGGGGAAUCUUGCACAAUGGAGGAAACUCUGAUGCAGCGAUGCCGCGUGAGUGAAGAAGGCCUUUGGGUUGUAAAGCUCUUUCGUCGGGGAAGAAAAUGACUGUACCCGAAUAAGAAGGUCCGGCUAACUUCGUGCCAGCAGCCGCGGUAAUACGAAGGGACCUAGCGUAGUUCGGAAUUACUGGGCUUAAAGAGUUCGUAGGUGGUUGAAAAAGUUGGUGGUGAAAUCCCAGAGCUUAACUCUGGAACUGCCAUCAAAACUUUUCAGCUAGAGUUUGAUAGAGGAAAGCAGAAUUUCUAGUGUAGAGGUGAAAUUCGUAGAUAUUAGAAAGAAUACCAAUUGCGAAGGCAGCUUUCUGGAUCAUUACUGACACUGAGGAACGAAAGCAUGGGUAGCGAAGAGGAUUAGAUACCCUCGUAGUCCAUGCCGUAAACGAUGUGUGUUAGACGUUGGAAAUUU